GGCGUGCCUAAUACAUGCAAGUCGAGCGAGCGGAACUAACAGAUUUACUUCGGUAAUGACGUUAGGAAAGCGAGCGGCGGAUGGGUGAGUAACACGUGGGGAACCUGCCCCAUAGUCUGGGAUACCACUUGGAAACAGGUGCUAAUACCGGAUAAGAAAGCAGAUCGCAUGAUCAGCUUUUAAAAGGCGGCGUAAGCUGUCGCUAUGGGAUGGCCCCGCGGUGCAUUAGCUAGUUGGUAAGGUAAAGGCUUACCAAGGCGAUGAUGCAUAGCCGAGUUGAGAGACUGAUCGGCCACAUUGGGACUGAGACACGGCCCAAACUCCUACGGGAGGCAGCAGUAGGGAAUCUUCCACAAUGGACGCAAGUCUGAUGGAGCAACGCCGCGUGAGUGAAGAAGGUUUUCGGAUCGUAAAGCUCUGUUGUUGGUGAAGAAGGAUAGAGGUAGUAACUGGCCUUUAUUUGACGGUAAUCAACUAGAAAGUCACGGCUAACUACGUGCC
rnacentral:rRNA from 1 species